rnacentral:rRNA from 1 species
GACGAACGCUGGCGGCGUGCUUAACACAUGCAAGUCGAACGGAAAGGCCCUGCUUUUGUGGGGUGCUCGAGUGGCGAACGGGUGAGUAACACGUGAGUAACCUGCCCUUGACUUUGGGAUAACUUCAGGAAACUGGGGCUAAUACCGGAUAGGAGCUCCUGCUGCAUGGUGGGGGUUGGAAAGUUUCGGCGGUUGGGGAUGGACUCGCGGCUUAUCAGCUUGUUGGUGGGGUAGUGGCUUACCAAGGCUUUGACGGGUAGCCGGCCUGAGAGGGUGACCGGCCACAUUGGCACUGAGAUACGGCCCAGACUCCUACGGGAGGCAGCAGUGGGGAAUAUUGCACAAUGGGCGGAAGCCUGAUGCAGCAACGCCGCGUGCGGGAUGACGGCCUUCGGGUUGUAAACCGCUUUCGCCUGUGACGAAGCGUGAGUGACGGUAAUGGGUAAAGAAGCACCGGCUAACUACGUG